rnacentral:rRNA from 1 species
CGCACGGGUGAGUAACACGUAUCUAACCUGCCGUCUACUCUUGGCCAGCCUUCUGAAAGGAAGAUUAAUCCAGGAUGGCAUCAUGAGUUCACAUGUCCGCAUGAUUAAAGGUAUUUUCCGGUAGACGAUGGGGAUGCGUUCCAUUAGAUAGUAGGCGGGGUAACGGCCCACCUAGUCAACGAUGGAUAGGGGUUCUGAGAGGAAGGUCCCCCACAUUGGAACUGAGACACGGUCCAA